UCAUCAAAUUAUCUGUUAUCACCACUUCUGACAGGGAAACAGUGAGAAGCUGGAUUUGUGUACCUAGGCCUUGCUCCCCCACUUUGGACAAGGCUCUCUAGUAAAGAGUGUUACAGACCAGUCAAGCCCCAAGUGUGUGAAGACAUGGUCAAGAUCCUUCAAAGCUCCGACACAAAUUCUUACUUUAGCUUGUUUUAGGUUCAUCUUCAGCAGUACUACAAGGUUUAAACCUGGUAGCAAUAUAGCCAAACAUAACAAAAAAGAACAAUCAUGAAGAGGGAUGAGGCAAACACUUUCCAGAACUGGAGUAUUUCUGAUACCUCAUAGUUUGGUACCAUUGAAGAUCUGCUGGUUUUAGAGACACUUUCCCUUAUGUGAAUGAGUAUGCAAUGAGUAUUUGAUGAAGUGGUGAAUUCCUUGCUCUCCAUUUUCCUUUGCCAGGUGGUCUCACAGGAACUGUAUCAUUUCAUGCUGGAGUUUCCCUUUUGAUUUGCUUCCUGGGUUUGUUUUUCUAAUUUUACAGAGCACUGGGAGCUCUGGAAGUGAACCCAGACAAGAAGAGGUCAUGGCUGGAGGAGCAAAGCACACAUGGGACUGUGUUUCUUUUCAGCAGAUGGUAGCCAUGCACUGCUCAAACAGAGCUGUCUUGCUGCAUCCAUGGACAAAUGGGAUGAUUAGGGCAUCCUUUGAGCACUGAAGAGAAGAAGAUAUAGAUUCCUACAAGCUGAAGAGGAAAAGAAGCCUCAAUUCCCACCUCCUGACUCAGUGUUCUAUCCAGAAAGAUGCACCGUGGGAGAUAAUCGCAGGCACUGCGACUGAUUCUAUCUCUGCUUGAGAAAAAACGGACUGAUCCUUCUGCUUCUUAAACAAAACAAGCAAACAAAGAGCAGUUUUAGGAAGAUGAUUAUUCUGGAGAGGAUUUUGGAGUCAGGAUCCAGAGCAAUGCCUGCAUGCAGCCCAAGGUAGGCUGUUAUGUUUUGGAGAGAGGGUUUGUCUAUCUAUUUUUGGUUCAAGUUUGGUUGAAAAAUUC
rnacentral:lncRNA from 1 species